AUUGAACGCUGGCGGCAUGCCUUACACAUGCAAGUCGAACGGUAACAGGUUAAGCUGACGAGUGGCGAACGGGUGAGUAAUGUAUCGGAACGUGCCCAGUCGUGGGGGAUAACUGCUCGAAAGAGCAGCUAAUACCGCAUACGACCUGAGGGUGAAAGCGGGGGAUCGCAAGACCUCGCGCGAUUGGAGCGGCCGAUAUCAGAUUAGGUAGUUGGUGAGGUAAAGGCUCACCAAGCCGACGAUCUGUAGCUGGUCUGAGAGGACGACCAGCCACACUGGGACUGAGACACGGCCCAGACUCCUACGGGAGGCAGCAGUGGGGAAUUUUGGACAAUGGGCGCAAGCCUGAUCCAGCCAUGCCGCGUGCGGGAAGAAGGCCUUCGGGUUGUAAACCGCUUUUGUCAGGGAAGAAAAGGUUCUGGCUAAUACCUGGGACUCAUGACGGUACCUGAAGAAUAAGCACUUACUAACUACGUGCCAGCAGCCGCCGUAA
rnacentral:rRNA from 1 species